GGCCUCCCAAUUCUUACCACAGGCUGUGUUCUUUACACUGACUGUAUAGAAAGAGGAGGUACAGUAGAUGCACCCCAUAUACACCUCAACCCAGGCCCUGUGCCUGGGUUGUGAAUUGGGGGACAAAA